rnacentral:rRNA from 1 species
GAUGAACGCUGGCGGCGUGCCUAAUACAUGCAAGUCGAGCGAACAGACGAGGAGCUUGCUCCUCUGACGUUAGCGGCGGACGGGUGAGUAACACGUGGAUAACCUACCUAUAAGACUGGGAUAACUUCGGGAAACCGGAGCUAAUACCGGAUAAUAUAUUGAACCGCAUGGUUCAAUAGUGAAAGACGGUUUUGCUGUCACUUAUAGAUGGAUCCGCGCCGCAUUAGCUAGUUGGUAAGGUAACGGCUUACCAAGGCGACGAUGCGUAGCCGACCUGAGAGGGGGAUGGGCAACCUGGGAAUGGAGCCCGGUCCCAGACGCCGACGGGAGGCACCAGAGGGAAAGCUUCGGAAAGGGGGGAAAGCUUGCCGGAGAACCGCGGCGGGAGUGAGGAAGUCCUCGGGUGGGGAAACCCUUUUUUUGGGGGAAAAACAAUGUUUAAAGGAACGAUGCCGGCUUGGACGGUACUUAAUAAGAAAGCAACGGUUAACUAGGG